rnacentral:tRNA from 1 species
GAGGGUAUAGCUCAGUGGUAGAGUGUGUGCUUGGCAUACAGAAGGCCCUGGGUUCAAUAAUCCCUAGUACCUCCA